GUGGCCAAAUAUCUGAUUGAGGAAAUGGAAAGGCAGCAAAAAAGUUUCAAUUCUAAGAUGACAUCGAAGCUGGCAGAUGCCAUCUCCACUGGCCUUGGGAAGGUCAAGCGUUUAAAACGCUCCUUGAAAAUUGCCGAUUUAUUUGAGGAUCGGGAGAUGUUUUCCAUUGUCUCUGUCAUUGUUUCCCACAAGCUACUGGCCAUCUUGAAACCCUCAGUUUCCAACCCAUAUGACCGUGAGACCUCAGACCUUGAAGACUCAUGCAGUGAUGAUGUGGAGGAUUUGGAAUCUGAGGGGGUGCAUUAUGCCACCAACAGAAAGUCCAACAUGAGCAUUGUCCUUACGGACACUACAAACCAGCCAGAGAUGUAUAUUACUUGUGGAUUCUCCACCUAUGAGUGAGUAUUCCUGGUGGGAAAUGUUCUUAUUUGACAAUUAUGUAUGAAGAAGUAUAAAAAAGUAAUAAAUGAUUGUUUUUUCAGACAAUUGUCCAUCUGAAAUUCUUACAUAUUUUCAUCUUCUUGCCAGUUAAAUUAUCCAAGAUGAGAAAAGGCAUCCGGGACUUCUUCUGGGGAGUCCAGAAGGCCUGGAAACACUUGGUCACCUGCAAGUCCUCUGGGUCCUCUGAUGGUUAGCCUGGAUGACGUGCAGCCCAUGUCAGUUGCUUUUGCCAGGCUACAUCUGAGGAGGACACCACAACUGGCCUCAAUACAACAUUUUUAUUUUUGUUGGUCAUUUCUGUUUUCAUGCUGCUAUAUUCAUGCUGCUAUAUUUGAACCAGGCUCUCAGUGGACUAGCUUACCAUUAGUUUAUACUCCUUAAGGAAGAUCCACUAUAGGCUAGUCAACACCACAAUUCCAUCUGGGUCUUUUGAUCCCUUAUUAGCUCCCACUCCUGUAACUAGGAAUGUGAGCUUCUAAAUGUCAUUCAGACAUCUACAGCUUCUCCUGUGAUUAGGAAGAUAAGCUAAGAAGCCCAACCAAUUGACUAGAUGUGCUGUACAUCUAAUGCCCUCUCCCUAUUGUAAUCAUUGAUCCACGUCCAUUGCAGCCUCUAAAUUUGAUGUAGAUUUUUAGCCUAAAUUAAAAAAUGACAAGGAGGGUAGGCCGACAGCAGCUUCUACUCUUACGAUUAGGAAAGAGGUGCUAAACUUUUUGGGCUUUGAGGAACUAUGUAUUUGUUUUUUCAAUCACUUACAUACUUUU
rnacentral:lncRNA from 13 species